rnacentral:rRNA from 1 species
UUUUAGCAAGGAAGAAGCGAAAGUGACGGUACUUGCAGAAAAAGCGCCGGCUAACUACGUGCCAGCAGCCGCGGUAAUACGUAGGGCGCAAGCGUUAUCCGGAAUUAUUGGGCGUAAAGAGCUCGUAGGCGGUUUGUCGCGUCUGCUGUGAAAUCCCGAGGCUCAACCUCGGGCCUGCAGUGGGUACGGGCAGACUAGAGUGCGGUAGGGGAGAUUGGAAUUCCUGGUGUAGCGGUGGAAUGCGCAGAUAUCAGGAGGAACACCGAUGGCGAAGGCAGAUCUCUGGGCCGUAACUGACGCUGAGGAGCGAAAGGGUGGGGAGCAAACAGGCUUAGAUACCCUGGUAGUCCACCCCGUAAACGUUGGGAACUAGUUGUGGGGUCCUUUCCACGGAUUCCGUGACGCAGCUAACGCAUUAAGUUCCCCGCCUGGGGAGUACGGCCGCAAGGCUAAAACUCAAAGGAAUUGACGGGGACCCGCACAAGCGGCGGAGCAUGCGGAUUAAUUCGAUGCAACGCGAAGAACCUUACCAAGGCUUGACAUACACGAGAACACCCUAGAAAUAGGGGACUCUUUGGACACUCGUGAACAGGUGGUGCAUGGUUGUCGUCAGCUCGUGUCGUGAGAUGUUGGGUUAAGUCCCGCAACGAGCGCAACCCUCGUUCUAUGUUGCCAGCACGUAAUGGUGGGAACUCAUGGGAUACUGCCGGGGUCAACUCGGAGGAAGGUGGGGAUGACGUCAAAUCAUCAUGCCCCUUAUGUCUUGGGCUUCACGCAUGCUACAAUGGCCGGUACAAAGGGCUGCAAUACCGUGAGGUGGAGCGAAUCCCAAAAAGCCGGUCCCAGUUCGGAUUGAGGUCUGCAACUCGACCUCAUGAAGUCGGAGUCGCUAGUAAUCGCAGAUCAGCAACGCUGCGGUGAAUACGUUCCCGGGUCUUGUACACACCGCCCGUCAAGUCAUGAAAGUCGGUAACACCUGAAGCCGGUUGCCCAACCCUUGUGGAGGGAGCCGUCGAAGGUGG